GACGAACGCUGGCGGCGUGCUUAACACAUGCAAGUCGAACGGAAAGGCCCUGCUUUUGUGGGGUGCUCGAGUGGCGAACGGGUGAGUAACACGUGAGUAACCUGCCCUUGACUUUGGGAUAACUGCAGGAAACUGGGGCUAAUACCGGAUAGGAGCUCCUGCUGCAUGGUGGGGGUUGGAAAGUUUCGGCGGUUGGGGAUGGACUCGCGGCUUAUCAGCUUGUUGGUGGGGUAGUGGCUUACCAAGGCUUUGACGGGUAGCCGGCCUGAGAGGGUGACCGGCCACAUUGGGACUGAGAUCCGGCCCAGACUCCUCCGGGAGGAAGCAGUGGGGAAUAUUGCACAAUGGGCGGAAGCCUGAUGCAGCAACGCCGCGUGCGGGAUGACGGCCUUCGGGUUGUAAACCGCUUUCGCCUGUGACGAAGCGUGAGUGACGGUAAUGGGUAAAGAAGCACCGGCUAACUACGUG
rnacentral:rRNA from 1 species